rnacentral:rRNA from 1 species
UACGUAGGGGGCAAGCGUUGUCCGGAUUUAUUGGGCGUAAAGAGCGUGUAGGCGGCCCGACAAGUCUGCUGUGAAAACUCGAGGCUCAACCUCGAGCUGUCGGUGGAAACUGUCUGGCUAGAGUCCGGAAGAGGAGAGUGGAAUUCCUGGUGUAGCGGUGAAAUGCGCAGAUAUCAGGAAGAACACCUAUGGCGAAGGCAGCUCGCUGGGACGGGACUGACGCUGAGACGCGAAAGCGUGGGGAGCGAACAGG